CGACCGGCGCACGGGUGAGUAACACGUAUGCAACCUGGCCGUGACAGAUGGAUAACCGGGAGAAAUCCCGCCUAAUACAACAUAAUGCCGGGAGGGGACAUCCCCUGCCGGCCAAAGGGGGCGACCCCGGUCACGGAUGGGCAUGCGGCGCAUUAGGUAGUUGGUGGGGCAACGGCCCACCAAGCCGACGAUGCGUAGGGGUUCUGAGAGGAAGGUCCCCCACACUGGUACUGAGACACGGACCAGACUCCUACGGAAGGCAGCAG
rnacentral:rRNA from 1 species